GUUCUUUUUUAUCUUAUUUUUUUCAGAGCUAGAAUUGGAAAGCUUGAUAUUCUAUAUUUCUGUUAAAGUAGGCAAUUUUUUUUUGCUCAACCUAAAUGAGUAAAAUCUGUUACAAGGGAAAUCCACCAAGCAGGAAAGAUGGUCGUGCGCAUGGAAGAAACACGAAGUAUAUUAAAUAUUAAGAAGUUUCCCAGUUUUGCACGGCAUUGAAAUCUCUGACCAAGUCGAGUAUGUAAGAGAAUAAAAUGAAGGGAUUUGGUACUCCGUCAUGAAAAAUGAUCCAACGACGUGUCAAGUAUAACAAGUAACAGGAGAAAGGAACAUGUAUUCUUCUGAUGUUGGUCCCAUGAAACUUAAUGAAGGUAGGUAGGCGUUGUUUUCUUAUUAUUGUAGUUUACAAAUGUUAGUUGGAACAGAACAUUAUCUUACUGAGAAGAAUUUCAAAUUGUUGUAAUGCGAGAUUUGAUGGUUUGUUGUUUCGUAUAAAAAAGAA
rnacentral:misc_RNA from 1 species